UUAAAUUGAAGAGUUUGAUCAUGGCUCAGAUUGAACGCUGGCGGCAGGCCUAACACAUGCAAGUCGAACGGUAACAGGAAGCAGCUUGCUGCUUUGCUGACGAGUGGCGGACGGGUGAGUAAUGUCUGGGAAACUGCCUGAUGGAGGGGGAUAACUACUGGAAACGGUAGCUAAUACCGCAUAACGUCGCAAGACCAAAG
rnacentral:rRNA from 1 species